GGAUGAGCCAGGGCUUUGGCGGCUGAGAUGCGACUGCUCGCUCUGAAUGCCAAGCAUUGCUGCAGACAGGAGGUCGUUCUCGCCCGGGCCCAGGUUGUGCAGCAGUUUGGUGCAGGAGCCUUUCGGUCCCCAGCUGACUGAGUAGGAGAUCGGGCUGUCUUUGGGCCAGUCCUCCUCGCUGGGCAAACCAAUCACCCUGAUGAAGAAAGCAAAGAGCAGCAGCAACAGGCUGCUAAUAACCUCCACGUCUGACAUUUUUAAACCAGACACAGACUCAGCUCUCCUCACCUCAAGAGGAAGAGCUCGGCGAAGAUGCAGCCGACGCUCCACAUGUCCACCGAGGACAUGUAAACGGAGUUCAGCAGCACCUCGGGAGCUCUGUACCACAG